AUUUCAUUACGAGCGGAAAUUGUUACCAUUUUCGGCUCAAAAAUGGUAACAAUUUCCGCACGUAAUACAAA
rnacentral:miRNA from 1 species